AGUCAUUAUAGGCUAUUCCGGGAGGAGUAGUACCGGGUCAAAGCUGAGUGAAGCUCUACCAAAAGUGGAACAUCAGGACUCAAUGGAUUCGUCACUAGUAGAGGUUUUUCACGCAGUAUCACAGUAGACGUUAUGUGGUUCAACCAUUUCAAUUUGGUAGAGCAAUAUUUCUCCCCAAAACUGGACAACUGGAUAUAUCGGUUUUUCCAAAACAAGCACUUUUUUUGAUCACCAGAAAUGCUAUACUAUUCAAAAAAUUGUGAUCGGUAGUCAUCUAUCUCAUUUCACAAACGGAGUAUUCCAUUCAACUAUGAUUCAGUGUGUCUCAGAAUAAGUGAAACAGAGUUCGAAUAAAGUGUUCCAAAUGUGGGAAAGCAUACAAAAACGUUGAAACAAUGAAAAGUCAUUUUUAUCAAGACUGCGGAAAAAUCUUCAGAUGCACAAUUUGUGAAUAUAGUUGCAGAAGAAAGUAUUGUUUUUCUAAACACGUUAUGAAGCACACAAAUGAUAAUAGUCAACAAGAAUAAUGAAUUGAAAAAAAAAUACGUUUAUGAAAAGUAUUUAUACUAUAGUAUAAGUUUCCGAUGUUUGUCAAUUAUAUUCAUUGAGUUCAAUAAAACAGGUAUACGCA